rnacentral:rRNA from 1 species
AGGGCAAGUCUGGUGCCAGCAGCCGCGGUAAUUCCAGCUCCAAUAGCGUAUAUUAAAGUUGUUGCAGUUAAAAAGCUCGUAGUUGAAUUUCGGGGUUCUACCGUUGGUCGGGCUAUUGUCUGUACUGGCGUGUAGAAUUUCUACCUUCUGGAGAACUAUCAUGUUAUUAAUUUAGCGUGGUAGGAAACCAGGACCUUUACCUUGAAAAAAUUAGAGUGUUCAAAGCAGGCUUAUGUCUGAAUACAUUAGCAUGGAAUAAUAAAAUAGGACGGUGGUCCUGUUUUGUUGGUUUCUGAAUCACCGUAAUGAUUAAUAGGGAUAGUUGGGGGCAUUAGUAUUCAAUUGUCAGAGGUGAAAUUCUUGGAUUUAUUGAAGACUAACUACUGCGAAAGCAUUUGCCAAGGAUGUUUUCAUUAAUCAAGAACGAAAGUUAGGGGAUCGAAGACGAUCAGAUACCGUCGUAGUCUUAACCAUAAACUAUGCCGACUAGGGAUCGGACGAUGUUAACUUUUCUUGACUCGUUCGGCGCCUUACGGGAA